AUCAAAACAGGAAGUCAGAAAUCUGAGCUUGUCUGUAUUCACCAGAGUCCCUUAAGAAAUCCAAUUGUGUUAUGAAUGAUGUUGCACUGCCUAGGGGUUCCACUAGAUGUCAGCAAUCAAUAGAAAUUCCAAUGAGACUUCUAUGAUGUUGUGGGAGAGAAUGAGAGCAGAAUCAGUCAGGUGUCCAUCAAGCAGCCAUGCCCUGCUCAUGCCUUUUCUUCAUGCACGACACUGACCGUUCCAUUGCUCACGCAGACAAGAAGGAAUACUCCGGUUGGAACUUUAUUGAAGCUAUAUAUUAAAAACAUCCUAAUGAUUGAUUCAGUACUUAGUUUGAAAUGUUUCUUCGACCGGUAAUAUCACAUUUUGAAGUUUUUGUCCGAUAUAACGCUGACCAGAAUUAGCGUUUGGAUAUGUAAACCAGACGCGCUAACAAAAGAAGGUAUUUGGACAUAAAUAACGGAUUUUUUCAAACAAAACAAACAUUUAUUGUGGACCUGGGAUUCCUGGUGUGCUUUCUGAUCCUAAUCAACAAAGGCCUGCGCCCUGGACCCAUACUGACCUGUGGGUCCCAGAGUGAGGAGCAGCAAGACGGUGGGGUAGAGGGCCUGCCCUGCCAUGAGGAGGGAGCGGGUGUUGGAGUAAGAGCGCACUGUCUGGGAUGUCCAGCAGAGGGCGAACACAAGGCACAGAGCCCCCGAAUUCACAGCCAUGAGGAAUGACAGCACCCCAAAUACUUGCUCUGCCUCCAGGGCUGAAGACACACACACACACAGUGGUUAUAAUAUGAAAAAAAUGUGACACAUGAUUUUACAGUGACUUGUAAUAAUUUCUGCCUUGGACAGUGUUUCUCAGUUAUGUGUACGUUAAACUCUUCUUCCUCUCA